rnacentral:rRNA from 1 species
CCUACGGGAGGCUGCAGUGAGGAAUAUUGGUCAAUGGGCGUAAGCCUGAACCAGCCAAGUCGCGUGAGGGAUGAAGGUUCUAUGGAUCGUAAACCUCUUUUAUAAGGGAAUAAAGUGUGGGACGUGUCCUGUUUUGUAUGUACCUUAUGAAUAAGGAUCGGCUAACUCCGUGCCAGCAGCCGCGGUAAUACGGAGGAUCCGAGCGUUAUCCGGAUUUAUUGGGUUUAAAGGGUGCGUAGGCGGCCUUGUAAGUCAGCGGUGAAAGUCCGUGGCUCAACCAUGGAAUUACCGUUGAAACUGGGAGGCUGGAGUAUGUGUGAGGCAGGCGGAAUGCGUGGUGUAGCGGUGAAAUGCUUAGAUAUCACGCAGAACCCCGAUUGCGAAGGCAGCCUGCCAAGCCAUGACUGACGCUGAUGCACGAAAGCGUGGGGAUCAAACAGGAUUAGAUACCCUUGUAGUC